CAGUCGCCGCGGUAAUACGUAGGUGGCAAGCGUUGUCCGGAAUUAUUGGGCGUAAAGCGCGCGCAGGCGGAUCAGUUAGUCUGUCUUAAAAGUUCGGGGCUUAACCCCGUGAUGGGAUGGAAACUGCUGAUCUAGAGUAUCGGAGAGGAAAGUGGAAUUCCUAGUGUAGCGGUGAAAUGCGUAGAUAUUAGGAAGAACACCAGUGGCGAAGGCGACUUUCUGGACGAAAACUGACGCUGAGGCGCGAAAGCCAGGGGAGCGAACGGGAUUAGAUACCCGAGUAGUCCCUGUCUCUUAUACA
rnacentral:rRNA from 1 species